rnacentral:rRNA from 2 species
UGAGGGUCCUAAAGGGCCGUUGGAGACCACAACGUUGAUAGGUGGGGUGUGUAAGCGUAGCGAUACGUUGAGCUAACCCAUACUAAUUACCCGUGAGGCUUAACCAUACAACACCCAAGAAGUGUUC